UUGGAAUCAAAGCGCCCUUGGUGGGUUUUCACUUUAGUCCAUUCUCCUUCUUUAGGUUAAGUAUUCCUGGACCGAAUCUGAGUUUACAGGGUUUAGCAAGUUUUUUUUACCAUCCAUCUCACUCAAGAUUAAAGUUCCCCUGAAAAGGCCUUCUUUACAACAUAUGGACCUUCCAAAUUCGGCAUCCAUUCUCCUCUAAAAUCCUUUUGUACAGGAAGGAUUUUUUCCAAUACUAGGCCUCCC
rnacentral:lncRNA from 1 species